rnacentral:rRNA from 1 species
UACGUAGGGUGCGAGCGUUGUCCGGAAUUACUGGGCGUAAAGGGUGUGUAGGCGGUUCUUAAGUUUGGUGUGAAAUCUCCCGGCUCAACCGGGAGGGUGCGUCGAAUACUGAGGGACUAGAGUGCGGGAGAGGAAAGUGGAAUUCCUGGUGUAGCGGUGAAAUGCGUAGAUAUCUGGAGGAACACCGGUGGCGAAGGCGGCAUCCUGGACCGGCAUUGACGCUGAUGAGCGAAAGCUAGGGGAGCAAACGGGG